UACAGAGGUCUCAAGCGUUGUUCGGAAUUACUGGGCGUAAAGGGCGCGUAGGCGGCCUGCUAAGUCGGAUGUGAAAUCCCUCGGCUCAACCGGGGAACUGCAUCCGAUACUGGCGGGCUUGAAUCCGGGAGAGGGAUGUGGAAUUCCAGGUGUAGCGGUGAAAUGCGUAGAUAUCGGAAGGAACACCAGUGGCGAAAGCGGCUUCCUGGUCCAGCACCGACGUUCAGGCACGAAAGCGUGGGGAGCAAACAGG
rnacentral:rRNA from 1 species